UACCUGGUUGAUCCUGCCAGUAAUCAUAUGCUUGUCUCAAAGAUUAAGCCAUGCAUGUCUAAGUACAUGCCGAAAUAAGGCGAAACCGCGAAUGGCUCAUUAAAUCAGUUAUGGUUCCUUAGAUCGUUUCUUCCUACUUGGAUAACUGUGGCAAUUCUAGAGCUAAUACAUGCAGUGAGCCUGAAGCCCUUUGGGCGACGGGUGCUUUUAUUAGACCAAGAUCGAUCGGGUUUCGGCCCGUAUUGUGUGGUGACUCUGGAUAACUUUGUGCUGAUCGCAUGGCCACGAGCCGGCGACGUUUCUUUCAAGUGUCUGCCUUAUCAACUUUCGAUGGUAGGUUACUUGCUUACCAUGGUUGUUACGGGUAACGGAGAAUCAGGGUUCGAUUCCGGAGAGGGAGCCUGAGAAACGGCUACCACAUCCAAGGAAGGCAGCAGGCGCGCAAAUUACCCACUCCCGGCACGGGGAGGUAGUGACGAAAAAUAACAAUACGGGACUCUUUUGAGGCCCCGUAAUUGAAAUGAGUACACUCUAAAUCCUUUAACGAGGAUCAAUUGGAGGGCAAGUCUGGUGCCAGCAGCCGCGGUAAUUCCAGCUCCAAUAGCGUAUACUAAAGCUGCUGCGGUUAAAAAGCUCGUAGUUGGAUCUCAGUUCCAGACGAGUAGUGCAUCUACCCGAUGCGACGGCUCGGACUGAACAUCAUGCCGGUCCUUUCUUGGUGCACUUCAUUGUGUGCCCUCGAGAAGGCCGGUGCUUUUACUUUGAAAAAAUUAGAGUGCUCAACGCAGGCGAGUCGCCUGAAUAAACUUGCAUGGAAUAAUAGAACAAGACCUCGUUUCUGUUCUGUUGGUUUUUGGAAUACGAGGUAAUGAUUAAGAGGGACAGACGGGGGCAUUCGUAUUGCGGCGCUAGAGGUGAAAUUCUUGGACCGUCGCAAGACGAACUACUGCGAAAGCAUUUGCCAAGAAUGUUUUCUUUGAUCAAGAACGAAAGUCAGAGGUUCGAAGGCGAUCAGAUACCGCCCUAGUUCUGACCAUAAACGAUGCCAACCAGCGAUCCGCCUGAGUUACUCAAAUGACUCGGCGGGCAGCUUCCGGGAAACCAAAGUGUUUGGGUUCCGGGGGAAGUAUGGUUGCAAAGCUGAAACUUAAAGGAAUUGACGGAAGGGCACCACCAGGAGUGGAGCCUGCGGCUUAAUUUGACUCAACACGGGAAAACUUACCCGGCCCGGACACUGGGAGGAUUGACAGAUUGAGAGCUCUUUCUUGAUUCGGUGGAUGGUGGUGCAUGGCCGUUCUUAGUUGGUGGAGCGAUUUGUCUGGUUAAUUCCGAUAACGAACGAGACUCUAGCCUAUUAAAUAGGUGCGGGGUUCCCAGCACCUUACAACCUUCUUAGAGGGACAAGCGGCUCCUAGCCGCACGAAACAGAGCAAUAACAGGUCUGUGAUGCCCUUAGAUGUCCGGGGCCGCACGCGCGCUACACUGAAGGAAGCAGCGUGUCUUUAUCCCUGUCUGAAAAGACUGGGUAACCCGUGGAACUUCUUUCGUGAUUGGGAUAGGGGCUUGCAAUUGUUCCCCUUGAACGAGGAAUUCCCAGUAAGCGCGAGUCAUAAGCUCGCGUUGAUUACGUCCCUGCCCUUUGUACACACCGCCCGUCGCUACUACCGAUUGAAUGAUUUAGUGAGGUCUUCGGACCGAUGUCCGGCGCGGCCUUUCGGUUGCGCCGGUCUGUUGGAAAGAUGACCAAACUUGAUCAUUUAGAGGAAGUAAAAGUCGUAACAAGGUUUCCGUAGGUGAACCUGCGGAAGGAUCAUUA
rnacentral:rRNA from 1 species